GUUAACGUAGCUUAACCAAAGCAUAACACUGAAGAUGUUAAGAUAGGCCCUAAAAAGCCUCGUAGGCA
rnacentral:tRNA from 1 species